rnacentral:rRNA from 1 species
CGUGAGUGAUGAAGGCUUUCGGGUCGUAAAGCUCUGUCAAGUGGGAAGAAACUAUAGAAUGCCAAUACCAUUCUGUACUGACGGUACCACUGGAGGAAGCACCGGCUAACUCCGUGCCAGCAGCCGCGGUAAUACGGGGGGUGCAAGCGUUAUUCGGAAUCAUUGGGCGUAAAGAGCGCGUAGGCGGUCUCUUAAGUCAGGUGUGAAAGCCCGGGGCUCAACCUCGGAAGUGCACUUGAAACUAAGAGACUUGAGUAUGGGAGAGGGAAGUGGAAUUCCUGGUGUAGCGGUGAAAUGCGUAGAUAUCAGGAGGAACACCGGUGGCGAAGGCGACUUCCUGGACCAAUACUGACGCUGAGGCGCGAAGGCGUGGGUAGCAAACAGGAUUAGAUACCCUGGUAGUCCACGCAGUAAACGGUGAACACUAGGUGUAGCGGGUAUUGACCCCUGCUGUGCCGCAGUUAACGCAUUAA